GUCCCCCAAAUUCAUGUAUUAGAGCUUAAUUCCCAGUGCAGCAUGUUGAGAGGCAGGACCUUUAAGAGGUGAUUAGGUCAUGGGGGCUCUACCCUCAUGAAUGAAUUUAUGUUACUGCAUGAAUGGGUUUGUUAUAAAAGUUGAGUUUGGCCUUCUCUUGUUCCCUGUCAUGCACUGUAUCGCCAUGUGAUGCCUUCUGCCAUGUCAUGAUGCAGCAAGAGGCCAUCAGGCCAUCACAAAAUGCAGCCCCAUGAUCUUGUACUUCCCAGCCUCCAGAACCAUGUGCCAAAUAAACUUCUACUGUUUAUAAAGUACCCAGUCUAUAGUCUUCAGUUAUAGCAGCACAAAAGGGACUAAGACACCCCCAGGCACCUAGCCCCCAAAAGGUUAUGCCAGCAUCAACUCAACUGCAGCCUUUAAGUCGUGCCCCCAACCCCCAACCCAUCAUUAACCCCCAUCAGAAAGACGGGUAUGCCACUGCAGGGCCAGCACUCAACAUUCACUUGACAAACAUGCAUUGACAAAUAUUUAUUGAUGCUUACAAUGUGCCAGGCACAUUCUAGGCCCGGGGAUAUGGCAGUGAACAAAUCUGCCCAAAUCCCUGCCCACAUGGAGUUUAUGUUCUCAUGGGAAGAAAAACACAAGGAAGAAAUGUAUUCAUAUAAAAGAUGUGGCUGACUAGAUGUUGAUAAAAAGUGCUAUGGAGAAAACUAAAGCAGAAAGAGCAUAAGGAAUGUUGAGAGUAGGGUGGUUAAUAGGGAGGUCAGGAAAAGCCUCACUAAGAAAGGAACAUUUUGGCUGGGCACAGUGGCUCACGCCUGUAAUCCCAGCAUCUUGGCAGGCUGAGGCAGGUGGAACACCUGAGGUCAGGAGUUCAAGACCAGCCUGGCCAACAUGGUGAAACCCCGUCUCUACUAAAAGUACAAAAAAUUACCUGAGUGUGGUGGCAGGUGCCUGUAGUCCCAGCUACUGGGGAGGCUGAAGCAGGAGAAUCGCUUGAACCCAAGAGACAAAGGUUACAGUGAGCUGAGAUUGAACCACUGCACUCUAGCCUGGGCGACAGAGGGAGACUCCAUCUAAAAAAAAAAAAAAAAAAAAAAAAAA
rnacentral:lncRNA from 1 species